UGGAACCAUAAGAUUCUUAAAUCUGCUGGGGACUAAUAUGGAGGCGCCAAAGGGAUUUCAAAAAAAUAAGAUUUAUAUUGUGGCUCAGAAGCAUCCACUAUGGUCAAACCUGACUCAUUCUUCUUCUUUCUGUGAAAAGAAGCUUACAGGUGACGUCCAGGAGGUCAGUGAAUGUGGACCCAAGUGACAAACAAGACUUGACAGAUCAUCAGUCUGUACCCUGAAUAGAUUUUUUUUCCGUAUGAUAAUCCUGCAAAGUCUAGUGCAAGCCUGGUGUCCUGGUGUUAGAGGGACAGAAAUGUUAGAAUUGAGGGAAAAACAAAUCUGUCGUUGUUGAAGGAACAUCACUAGGAUCUCAAACCCAGAACCCACAGCUUGGGGAGGAGACGAUAGGAAUUUUAAAAUAACUCGCUGAAUAUUUUUAAAAGGAUUUUAGGAGUAAAAACUUAGAGUAGGUGUGUGGCCAUUCUACAUUUAGCCUAAAAAUUCGUAAAGAAAUAGGAAAAAGUGAAUCAUAGAAAGAAGCCAGAAGAAAUUGAUCUCAAAUUCAUCUCUAGGAUCACCUGAGGACCAGUGUCAUAGACAUCUUCCUUAUUUAAAUCGUCCUGGAGAGCAAGUCACACAAACUCCUUCAGUUGCUCCCUGCAAUAUUGAGCGACUAUUACUGUCAGAAAGUUCUUCCUUAUGUGUAACCUCAUGUCUCAUGGUGCGUGUUAAAAACCAUUCUCUCUUGCAUAGUUUUCACUGGAGAUAAAAUCAGCUAGAUCCCAACCUCCAUGGGAUAAGGAGAAAGAACUGAAGAGAAAACAAAGUUUAAAUGAUGUUGCGAGUACAUUUCGAUUAAGUGUGAACUUACUCAAAGCAUUCUUGGUAACAUCCUUGAUGAUGGAUUUAGACCAUAGGAUUUGCUAUGUCUCAAGACAGAGCUGGGUGUCUGACCACCACUUCACGGACUUGUGUAUAAGCCAGCAACCUCAAAGGCUGUGCAGUAAGUGAUACCUUCACAGAAUCCAUUCAGUCAAUGUGAACUUUUAUGUAUUUAAUACCAUUCAAAAAACAAAAAGCCAUUCAAAUAACGAAAUGAGAAUGUUUAAUUGGAAACAUGCAAUUAUUCUCAUGCUCAAUCCCUAUUAUAUAAAAGAAGCAGGGAGUAAGAUGUGCUAAGAGGGUGGGCUUGGGGUUUGUCAAAGUCUUGAACUUUUUUUAACAUAGGCGAUAUCAUAAAUAAAGGGGAAAAAAAGAAAACA
rnacentral:lncRNA from 1 species